rnacentral:rRNA from 1 species
AACGACCGCUGCGGCACGCCUAACACAUGCAAGUCGAGCGCUACCUUCGGGUGGAGCGGCGGACGGGUUAGUAACGCGUGGGAACAUACCCAACUCUACGGAAUAGCCUCGGGAAACUGAGAGUAAUACCGUAUACGCCCUUCGGGGGAAAGAUUUAUCGGAGAUGGAUUGGCCCGCGUUAGAUUAGAUAGUUGGUGGGGUAAUGGCCUACCAAGUCUACGAUCUAUAGCUGGUUUGAGAGGAUGAUCAGCAACACUGGGACUGAGACACGGCCCAGACUCCUACGGGAGGCAGCAGUGGGGAAUCUUAGACAAUGGGCGAAAGCCUGAUCUAGCGAUGCCGCGUGAGUGACGAAGGCCUUAGGGUCGUAAAGCUCUUUCGCCAGGGAUGAUAAUGACAGUACCUGGUAAAGAAACCCCGGCUAACUCCGUGCCAGCAGCCGCGGUAAUACGGAGGGGGUUAGCGUUGUUCGGAAUUACUGGGCGUAAAGCGCACGUAGGCGGAUUAGAAAGCUAGAGGUGAAAUCCCAGGGCUCAACCCUGGAACUGCCUUUAGAACUACUAGUCUAGAGUUCGAGAGAGGUGAGUGGAAUUCCAAGUGUAGAGGUGAAAUUCGUAGAUAUUUGGAGGAACACCAGUGGCGAAGGCGGCUCACUGGCUCGAUACUGA